GAGGACGAGGAAGCGGGCUGCAGCGGGUACGCCUGGAUGGUGAGUGCCCUCCUUCCCCUCUCCUGCAGCACAGAUGCGGGCGGGAUGGCUAGCUCUGGGGCCUCUGCCUGGCUGGACAGGAAAGUCCACUUCCCUGUGCAGAUGGCAGCCAGGGUGCAGGGCGUGGUACCGACUGGUGUGGAAACUGUGCCGAGGGCACGGCUGAGCGUCGCCACGGAAGACUGCAAACUUUCCUGCUUCUCCCGACACUCAGGUCACCAAGGGGAGACACUGCUACGAGUACGUGGACAGCAAGGACACAUCCCGGGCCAACUGGAUGUGGUGAGGACCGCGCAUGUCCGCUUCUACCGGGGCCCCUGUCCCUCAGAGCCCAGCUCCUUUCCUGCUCGCCCUUGCUCUCUCGCUGCUUUUCGUCAGCUUCUUCUCUUUUUCCUCUGCUCUCUUGCGGGAAACGGCGGCCUGUGCUCCCAGGUUGUCGGGGUGUAAUCAAACUCCUCUCCAGCCUGCAGCUCUGAGCUGCAUCCGCCCCAGGACAGGGUGCCCUCUCCUCAAAGGAGCAGCUGUCCAGAAAUGGGCUGCCCAGUCCACCUCUUCUGCCGCUUGGGGAGGACCCGGGGUCACAUUCAAUUUUAGUGUUAACUGUCGACCAGUCUUGAGUUACGACGUGCGUGCCGGCCGCUCGCGCUUCCAGAUGGGCUCAGGUGCAGACUGAACCCUAAAGCGCCGUGGAAGGAACACGUCAGUGUCCUCUCCCGUGUGGGGCUCACUGAGCAAUCCCGGGCCGGGGUCUCUCAGGACCCUGGGCUCUGCCUGUGGGCAGCAGAGAGACUCUGAAGGCUGUGCAGGGGCUGAGCCUCCACUGACCGACCUGAGUUACAACCAGCGCUGGGGAGCAGAUUGUGUUCCUAAGUCAGGGGUCCCCGGUACUUCAAAAUAAGAUUCAUUUCGCAGGCCUUAGACGCUGAGGAACAGUUUUUAUCCUUUAAAACACUUGUUCUGCUUCCAUCUUGAAGUAUCUCGUGCACAAAUGUCCCACAAAGCACUGCGCCGCGCCGCGGAAAGGCUGUGAGGCCCAAGGGCAGGUUCUCAGCAGCCUCCGGCCUCUCAGUGCUUCCGCUCCCUCUCUCUCGGGGCCCUCGCCUCCUGCCCGGGCUCUGGUGGUGGGAGCGGCGGAGGAGGGACGGGAUUCUCUGUGCUAAGAGGACGCUGCGCUUUGUGCUGGAGAACAGGCCGCAGUGAGACGCCUUUGCAGGGCUGCUCCAGCCUCGUGGUGACGGGAUGACGGCUUAGGGGAAGGCGAAGUCAGCAGGUAAUGUUAUCAAUUUGAGAGACAACAUUUUAACAAUAUUACAGAUACAUCAAACACUACUAUCUCAAUUACAUGAUAAUUGAGUUCAGAAUAAGAUCAAAUGAAAUCCACCGGUAAUCAAAAAC